rnacentral:rRNA from 1 species
ACUCCUGCGGGAGGCAGCAGUGGGGAAUUUUACGCAAUGGGGGAAACCCUGACGUAGCGACACCGCGUGAGCGAAGAAGCCCUUUGGGGUGUAAAGCUCUGUCAGCUGGAACGAAAACAAUGACGGUACCAGCAGAGGAAGCAUCGGCUAACUACGUGCCAGCAGCCGCGGUAAGACGUAGGAUGCGAGCGUUGUCCGGAUUUAUUGAGCGUAAAGAGUUCGUAGGUGGUUUGUUAAGUUUGGUGUUAAAGAUCGGGGCUCAACCCUGGGACUGCACUGAAUACUGGCAGACUCGAGUGUGGUAGAGGCUAGUGGAAUUCCCAGUGUAGCGGUGAAAUGCGUAGAUAUUGGGAAGAACACCGGUGGCGUAGGCGACUAGCUGGGCCAUAACUGACGCUGAGGAACGAAAGCCAGGGGAGCGAAUGGGAUUAGAUACCCCAGUAGUCCCA